rnacentral:rRNA from 1 species
UACGUAGGGUGCGAGCGUUGUCCGGAAUUAUUGGGCGUAAAGGGCGCGUAGGCGGAAUGGCAAGUCGGUCGUGAAAUCCUUCGGCUCAACCGAAGAACGUCGAUCGAAACUGCCGUUCUUGAGGAUUGCAGAGGAGACUGGAAUUCCCGGUGUAGCGGUGAAAUGUGUAGAGAUCGGGAGGAACACCGGUGGCGAAGGCGGGUCUCUGGGCAAUUCCUGACGGCUGAGGCGCGAAAGCGUGGGGAGCAAACGGG